rnacentral:misc_RNA from 1 species
AAUUUGUGUAUACUUUCAAGGUUAACAUGUGGCAACACUGAUUAUGAAAACAAAAAUGUCCGAUCAGUCCAAUAUAUUUUGUGAUUUAUUCUGUUGAUUAAUUUUAGUGAAAUUACUGUUUAUAAUGAAUCAUAACUUAAAAACUUACAAAUAUUCAAAGGGUGUCAUUGUAGUGGAUUGAUUUGUGUUUCAAUUAUUGCUCUUUAGGAUUAUUGGUCAGUAAAUGUUCUUAGCGUGUUUUGUCUCAGCUUGUUUUGGCUUGAGAACCGAUCACUUGAAGAAGCUCAACAUUCCAAAAUGAGACCUGUAGGUUAUGCAGGUUUCCUAUUUUAUUAAAGGAACUGACUGGCAUGGCAGAUGCAUCAGUACUGAAUAAACCAGAUGGAAACCAAGAGGUCAUUCUGAGAUUUGAUUGCCGACAAGUCGGUCUCAAUACACCGAUGGCUCUUGAUUCCAACGCUUGGCACAAAGAUCAGCAAUUGUUUUUGUCCGACAACCACCAUCACAAUCAGCAGCAGCAAGCUCAGCCAACCCCGGCCACUGUUCAGACUCAGCAGCGCAGUUUGCUCAAGAUCCCUUCCAAGACUUCCAUCCUCACACAAACCGAACGAAACUGUUUGGAGGCGAGCGGCGGUCUGAAGAACGACGCAGUUAUGUUCGACCCCAACCUGCAGCAGCAGCAACAGCAAAAUCAAACGCAAAACCAGGGCAACCAGGUCUACAACAAUGUCAACGCAGACAAGAAAGACAACGCCGAGAAGUCGUCGGUGGCCGAAUUUCCGUUCUGCUACAACGUGAACAUGCUGCAGAAGGUGCAUCAGAACCAGCAGCAGCAGCAGCAACAGCAGCAGCAGCAGGGCACGUCGACGUCAACCGCGACUGCGGCAGUGGUCACUGACGACAAGGCCUGCUACAGAUUCGAUGUCGCGCAGCCGUUCGGCUACAACUAUGCACUCGUCAACCAGAUGUCGCUGGCGGCCGCCGCGUCGACCGCUACCUUCAAAUGCGACAUCUGCGGUCUCGUGUUUACUCAUCUGUCUCUGCUCAACCACCACAAGCGCAUCCACAGCAAUGGCGCUGGUGGCGGCAACGCGGCUGCCAACACGCAGACCAACAACGGCACCACCAACACGGUCAACACGCAGACCAACAACGCCACCACCAACACCACUCCGCAGACCGAGCGAACCUAUGCCUGUGACAUGUGUGGCAACAUAUUCAAUUCCACCGGCGAGCUCAAGACGCACAAAACCAAUGUGCACAAGGUGCGUAAUUGCACAAUGUGCGGCGUGGAGGUGGACUGCGAGCACAUGGUGGGCGUGGGUGGCAAGCGCAAGAAGUUCGUCAAGUGCGAGUCGUGCCUGGCCGAGUCGGGCGACAGCAACGCGUUUCAAUCGUCGCAGGACCAGUCGUCCUCUUCGGACGAGAUGCCCAAGCCGCCGCAUCCCGUCAAACGCCACGGCAUGGCCCAGAUGACCAAGUGUCACAAGUGCAAUGGAUCCGGCAUCAUAUUCAUUGGGGGCACUCGUAACGUGGCCGACAAGCCGUACCACUGCAACCUGUGUGACGGCUCGUUCUCGCGCUACUCGUCGCUGUGGUCGCACAAGCGGCUGCACACCGGCGACAAGCCGUUCAAGUGCGACCUGUGCGGCCUGACGUUCGCGCGCGCCGCCUACCUCAAGAACCACAUCCGCGUGCACAGCGGCGAGAAGCCGUUCAAGUGCGCCGUCUGCGGCAUGCAGUUCUCGCAGUCGCCGCACCUCAAGAACCACGAGCGCAUCCACAGCGGCGAGCGGCCCUACCAGUGCGAAGUCUGCGAGAAGACCUUUGCGCGCCACUCCACGCUCUGGAACCAUCGGCGCAUCCACACCGGCGAGAAGCCCUACCGCUGCGGCCUCUGUGGCUCUGCCUUCAAUCAGGCUACCCACUUGAAAAAUCACGCCAAAGUGCACACCGGCGAGAAGCCGCACCGUUGCGAGAUCUGCGACGUGCGUUUCUCAGACAGAUUCGCCCUGAAGAGGCAUCACAACAUCCACGAGAAGUACGGCCGCACCGCGCCCAACAAUUCGCAAAAUUCACAACAACAGCAGAACCCGCAACAACAGCAACAGACACAACAACAGCAACAGCAGCAGCAACAACAGCAGCAGCAGCAGCCUCAAGUUGUGAUGGAAGAUGUAAUACAAGGGAUACAUGUGGAUCAGUGCUGAAACUUCCACAGUGUAUCAAAAUCAUCAGAACAGUUUCAACUUUCAUGGCAGCCCAAUGUGAUGGGGCAGCAACAGCAGGGGCAACCACAGCCGCAGAUGGGUCAGCCGGGACCGCCGCAGCAGCAGCCGGGACCGCCGCAACAGCAGCCAGGCAUCGACGACUUGUACAAGUGCGAAAUAGGCAGCUCGAUCGCCUUUCCCGGCUGCUCGCGUCCGCAGGACGUCAAGCCUUGAGGCUGCACAUAGACACUCUCUUUGUUAGUAUUCAUUUAGAUAUUACGAUAAUAACUAACUCUAUAAUCAUAGAAUCUAAUGCAUUAACUUUUAAUAAUUAAGAUAUCACAUUACUAUUACAUAAUUUUAUUAGUAUGCAAUAUUAUUAUUAUAGACAGACUAUAUAUUAUUUUUUUUAAGGUGAACUAUCAAUAAUAAUAUGAUAAAACACUGUGUACGUAUUACUACAAGCGAUGUUCACUCGAUAAUAAUUAUUGCUAUUUGAGUUUGAAAAAACUAUUCGUUUUAGUACAGGUAAUAUAACUUUGUAGGCGUAUUUACUCUGGAAUAAUAUCUAUUGUAAAGAAGAUAGUAUUAUUGUUGCUUUACUAGAUAGUAGUUAAGGUAUAUUUGAGUGUAGAUGAAUGAAGAGAUUGCCAUCAUUUAUUUUUAUUUGGUUUAUGUUGGUAGGAUCUUAUUUCUUAGUUGCAGAGAUUGGAUUGUUAGUUUAUAAUUUUUAGUUGUAGCAAACUGUACUCUGAUUACACAAUAAAUCGAAUUUUUAAACUCACAUUUUGCAAGUUGAAAAUUGAAUUUAAAUUCAUAUAAUUGCUACUGAUAGAAACAAAAUAGUUCAUAUUAAAAACUACAAUUGAAAGGAUUUUCACAUCACAUUUUAGACAUGAAAAUGUACAAAUAUUUUCAUUGCAGUAGACUUUUUUGCAAUGAGUUUGAUUAGUUGGUGCUCUGCUCUCAAUGUUUUAGCUUUAUAAUAAACGUUUUUAUAUUUCAAUUCAGACGCUUUUAUGUCAAAGUAAAUAUUUUCUUUUAAUAUCGAUACCGUAUUUUGAAUAAUACUAGUUGAACCAAUGCCGCGCAAACUUUGCCUGCUUUCUCUUGUAUGAUAACCAGUUGUGAUGAACAUGGCCGCAAUAAUACUACAAGUGACUCGAGUAAUUGCAUCUUGAUGCGCAGUUAACGCUUUCAUUGGAUCUGUUCCGAUUUCUGUAUUUAUUAUUGAAAAUUAUCAAAACAUUUUGAAUGAUACGGUACCAUCAUACAGCCUUUUAAAAGCUAAAAGCCCAACCCCUAAUCUAAGAUUUUACCUGUCAAAAGAUUAACAUGAAUAAAUACUAUGUUGUACUCUGGUAGUACUUUGAGUUAUUUUCCAUUUUUGAUCAAAUUAACACUGUUUCAAAUUACAACUAGAUCCUGCACCUAUGUGAGCGAUCACUUUUGUUUUAAUACAAAUCACUGGUGAAUUGUUUUAGUAUAACGACUAGAGUUACUGACGAGUUUUUCAAAAGCUUCUUGUAUAUAAUUAUUUUGAGAUCUCGAUUUCUUAUGUACUUCAUUAAUAAAAAUCAGUUGAAACCCAUGAGGAAGAGAUAUCGGUUAUCAACUCCUCCCUGAUAGAAUAGUAAGAUCACGAGUUGAAAAUGAGAUGAUCUAGUAGGAUUAGUAAGGUAAUCUCAAGAAGUAUUAUUUCAAUGAAAAGCGAAUUGAGAGAAAUGAAAAUUAUUGUUACUUUAACAAUUUCUAAUCAUUUUGCACAAUGUAAUAAAUAAUAGUUUUAUUGCCUAGUGUUUUGUUAUUAUUCUAAUAACAAGCAGCUAUUUAAAUAUCAGUUAUUUUUUGAUAGGCGAAACAUAAGUUAGAUUAACAUCGUAGAAUUACAUUUUUUAAAAUAGUAAUUUCAUGUUAAGUUGAAAAUGUAAACAGCUUCGAGUAGUCGAAUUUUGUAAAAAUUUGAGAAAAUUGUGUUGCGAUAUGCAUGAAUGACAAUGUUUAUUUAUAGAGGAAGAAUCUGAACGUUUAUGUAAAUAUAAAAACAUGUAUUAUCUGGUAAAGCAACUUGAAGAAAUAUUUGCUGUCAUUGAAUAUUUGUCUUCCACAAUUUUUUUCAUUAUAAAUUUAUGUUCGAUUCUUGAACACGUUGUCUAUCAAAAGCUUAUGUGGAAGUAAAAAGUAAGAUUAUCAUAUUUACAAAACAAAUUCUAACACAAUUUUCUAAUAUUAUUUUCAUUUAAGUCUUGAAAAAAUCUGGUUUUGAUGUUGAUUCUCAAUUUGUGUAAGCCCAUUGUUUAAAUUACUAGUGAUUGCAAAAAUUGAUAUUAUUAUUUGUAUUCAUGAUGAGAUAGGCUAAUUAUUAUUUCAUUUGAAGCGAUAAUUGUAUGAUACCUAUUAUUAGUGCGUGGAGUUAUAAGUUUUCAUGAUAUAGUUUCAAGUAGGUUCUGAACCACCGAGAAUAAAAUUUAAAAUAUGUUAACAACUUAAACUGAAAGUUAGUGGUGCUAGCCACUUUAAUAAUAUAUUUAUAGUACCUAAAAUAUUGGGAAUAACAUGAAUUAAUUUUAAAUGUUCAUAAUACGAUAUUCCUUCAAGAUCUAUAGAUUGUAAUAUAUAAAAUCUAUUCUUUCCAUCUACAGUUGAUUGGCAUGUUAAGUAAUACAAAAGCUGUUCAAUGGAAGUUUGAGAACUCACAGAGUUUUUAGUUGAUUGUAUAUUUCUAAAAACAUAAUGUUUUGCUUUAACUAUUGUACAGCUAUAAUUUUUUUGUUUAUAUUGAAACAAUAUAUAGACUACCUAUACAACUAUUGUAUUUUGUUUAAAACAUUUUUCAUGCUUAUUUCUCAUUUGAAAUAGCUGAUAUUAUUUUUUAUUAUUCCGUUACGCUGAAAUUACUUCUAUAUAAUUUACAAAUCUUUAUUAAUAUUCAAGAUCUAACUAACCGGCAAUAGUUAUUGAAUGUAGCACGAUUGUAAUUGCUUCAAUGGUAUACAACACACAGACAUACUGCAUGUCCCUCUUUAGGAAAAACUUCAUAUCUGUAUCUGACACAUAAUUCUGAAUCAUUACUUCCUAGAAGAAAUAAGACUAAGUUUACAUAAAUAUUGCAAACAUUUUUAUAAACUUAUCAUAUUUUUUGUUUCAUUUCUGGUAUCCAUUGAAAUUACCACUCAAAUUAAUAUUGAUACACUAUAAUUAAAAUAAUACAAUCACAUGGAAUAUACAUUGAUUUUCUAUUUUAAAAAAUCGUGAAUCUGUGAUUCAAAUAAUAUAUUUGUUUUCUUGUAAAUAAUUUUUAUAAUCAUAUAUAUAUAUAAUUUAUCUAUAUUUAAUAUUAUAUACAAGCAGAACUGCCUAAAGGAUUUUAUUGUCUUGUGUUUUGUUUGUAAAUAGUUUUAUUUUUUAUAAAAUUAUAUAACUUACUAGUUGUAAGUAGAAUUUAGAAAGUGAGACAAAACACUUCUUCUUUGUGUUGAUUUUUAGUGAAUUACUGUAUGGAUUUUCAGCCAUCAUUAGACAAAGUGUAUGUGUUUUUCGUGUUGCAUUAUCGUCAGCAGUAUAUAUAAAUAGAUAUCGUAAGGUUUGUAUGAUGAAAAUAAAUUUUAGGACUUAAUAAUUGAAUAAAAGUGAAUUAGUAUUUUAAAUCAUUUCUUCAGAAUGAAUUAUGUACUUCUGAUUAUUUCUAAAUAUGAUGAGUUAUUGUUUCAAUUGGUAUAGGUGUUUAUUUUUAUUAUUAUACAUUUAAAUGUAUUUUGUGCUUCAAAAUGUAGGCUAUUUAGAAGUUUUAUUUUGUAAAGUUGAGUGUUGAUAAAAUGUUGUUCGCUGAGAGAACUGAUAUUAUUAACUGAUAUCAUUUUAAUCAUUUUUGAAUCAAUUUACGUCAAAUACUCAAUUUAAAUUAGUAUUAUUUCAAGUUUAAGUUGUGUAAUAAGAAAAUAAAUACUAUGUAAAACUA